rnacentral:rRNA from 1 species
CGCCGCGUGAGGGAUGACGGCCUUCGGGUUGUAAACCUCUUUCGCCAGGGACGAAGCGCAAGUGACGGUACCUGGAGAAGAAGGACCGGCCAACUACGUGCCAGCAGCCGCGGUAAUACGUAGGGUCCGAGCGUUGUCCGGAAUUACUGGGCGUAAAGAGCUCGUAGGUGGUUUGUCGCGUUGUUCGUGAAAACUCACAGCUUAACUGUGGGCGUGCGGGCGAUACGGGCAGACUUGAGUACUGCAGGGGAGACUGGAAUUCCUGGUGUAGCGGUGGAAUGCGCAGAUAUCAGGAGGAACACCGGUGGCGAAGGCGGGUCUCUGGGCAGUAACUGACGCUGAGGAGCGAAAGCGUGGGGAGCGAACAGGAUUAGAUACCCUGGUAGUCCACGCCGUAAACGGUGGGUACUAGGUGUGGGUUUCCUUCCUUGGGAUCCGUGCCGUAGCUAACGCAUUAAGUACCCCGCCUGGGGAGUACGGCCGCAAGGCUAAAACUCAAAGAAAUUGACGGGGGCCCGCACAAGCGGCGGAGCAUGUGGAUUAAUUCGAUGCAACGCGAAGAACCUUACCUGGGUUUGACAUGCACAGGACGCCGGCAGAGAUGUCGGUUCCCUUGUG